ACAAAUCAUUUUCUUCAAAUAACUCAAUUUCAAAAUUCAUUUCAAAUUCAACUUCAAAUCAUUUUUUUCAAACCAAUUCAAUUUCAAAAAAGAAUUUUUUUUAAACAUAAACUUGGGAUGAAAAGGAGAUAGUAAGCGUACGCUUCACUAUUUCUCAAGCACUUGAACAAUUGGCGUACGCCAUAUUGCGCGAGUUUUUGUCACCCGAUUAAACCUUAAUUACACAAUUU
rnacentral:lncRNA from 1 species